GGCAGGGACAUCAGUGCCGGCUCACAGCCAGCCAGAGCGUCCCUGCCACAGGGCUUGACUCAACCUCUCAGACCUUUCUUGCCUCUGAGGCAAUAAAUGGUGAAACCAGGACAUUUCAACACAGAGAUGGCCCAACGCGGCACCGUGCUGUGCAGAGCACUUCCCCUGCUUCCCAGCAGAGCUCGGAAGUCCCCUGGUUUGGGUACGAUGGAAGCCGUAGCCCUCUCCCCAGCCCUCCCGCGUUCCUGCAGAGCUCGGUCAUGCAGGGCCAUGCUGGUCUUGCCAUGCAACUCCUGCGAGUCACCUCCAGCCCUCUGUGGGGCUCUGAAGACCUGACCUUCAGUGGGUUCACGUUGGCCAGCAUCAGAUGAGAACGGAACCCACCCUCCCGGUCAUCGCGGUGGCCGGUUCCUCACAUCCAAGAGUCACUCCCUGAACCCCAGGCUUUUUUCUGGGUGGGACUCUUAUGGGCAGCAGGGCUUUGUGGGCUUCAAGCUUCCCAACAGCAGCCGAAUCCAAGCUAACAGUGCACCAAGCUGCUCCUCCUCCUCUUUCUGUUCCUCCUCCUCCUCGGGCUGUUUCACAGUCAGGCUACAGCGACUUCCUGGCGUUGCACACAGUUUCUCGCCAACCGUUAGGAAAGAGCUUCUGGUUUCAGGGGAAGGGGACAUCAGAGAGACUUGCCUUGCACAAGUCCUUCUGCUUGGAUGCCUCCGGUGGCCUUUGGAAAGGAGAUGAGCAUGCAGGAAAGCGUCCGCUAAUGGAAAAUGACACAUCUGGAGGGGAAAGAGGCCGUGGUGAGGCACCUACGGGCAAAGCUGCAAGGGAAUAGGAAAGACCCUCCCGAAGCAGGUGGCUGGCUGGAGAGUCGCUCUGCAGCAUCCCCUGCAACGGAGCCGGGACAGACCCCUGCGUGGGGCUCCAAGGGAAAGCCACCUCCUGAGCCCCCCCGGACCAGGAGGGUGGACUUCAGCAGGGCUUCUCCGACUCGCGGUGAAGGUCAGAGUGUGGGACAGCGUUCGCCGCCUCAUCCCGUCGGUGAGACCCCAGGAUGGAUGGUGCGACUGAAGAAGGGGACUGCGCAAGAUGCCAGCUUCCCCUCAGCCCCUGCAAAGCCAGAAGGAGGAGACGCAUUGAACAAGGAAGUGGAAGCUGCCUCCGAUCCCCCAACCCAGCAGAGAAACCCAACCCAGCAGACACGGCCACUUGCCAGAGACAAGGGUUCUCCACCUGUUCCUGCCAAAGGCCCAGCUGUUGCAGCCUCCCUGGACGCUGCGGGAAGGCCCCAUGGGACGGGGCACCCAGUUGUGCCUCGGAGGAAGCCUUUGCCGCACGUCAAGGUGCUGGGAGCGAGGCCGGCCAAGCCCAGGCGCCCUCCUGUCGUGGAUCUGGAGAAGUUUGGUGCAGCUGCAUAUCCUGCAACACCCGUCCGUCCUGCCAUGGAGCCGCUAAGGAGCGCUCAGCUGGGUAUGGCCAGGCACCUGCAAGUCCCCCAAAGAAGGAUGCAGCUCAUUCAGAAAGGAAAAUCUCCCCAGUCACAGUCUGGAGCUUCUGGGAGAUGUAAAUACUGGGGGGGCUGAUGGAGAGGUGGGGGCUUGUAAUGCCAAAGGAGCUUUUCUAGCCAUACCAUGCAGAAAGGAAUGAGAGAGAAGGACACCUGGUGAAGAAACAAAGGGGACUAAAUUCCCUGUCCCUGGCUGGGGACAGGUAUCAGGCUCUGGGGUGGGUGUAGGGAGUAGGGUUGGAGCAAGUAACAUGAGGGAUGCUGACAAACUGGAGUCAGCCCAGUGCAGGGCACUAAGAUGUUUGGCAGCUGGAGCAUGUGGGAAAAUAGAGGUUAAGACCCAGGCUUGUUUGGUUGGGAGGAGAGCAACUGAAGGUAAGGUCAUCUCAGUGCCCACAGCUACCCAACAGGAGGAGAUGAUAGAGCAAGACCCUUCCCAAAUUGCCCAGGAACAGGACCGGAGGCAACAGGCAUGAGCUGCAGUAGGGGAAGUUCCAGUCAGAUAUUAGGAGAAGGCUCUUUCCUGUGGGAGUGGUGCAGCCCUGCAGCAGGCACUGGGGAGAUGGGUAUCCCCAUCUGUGGAGAUAUUCAGUUGCCACCUGGAUGAGGCUCUAAACAACCUGCUUUAGCUCUAAGGACAUCUCUGCUCUGAGCAGGAGGUUGGAUGACACUCCAGAGGUCCUUUCCAACCAAUCCACCCCUGUGUGGCUGUAAGAGCAGACAAGCCUGGCUGGUGACGAUCAGUGCUGGUCUCCAUCCCAUGGGCAAGAUGCACUCACACACCCUUUGGCCAAGGGACAGAGGCUCUCUGAAGCUGGCAGCACGUUGCCUGAAACACCAUCCUCCUCCAAGCCUGAGGGAGCUGCCAAGCCUCCCCAGGCACAACUGGAGCUAUGGCCUGGCUAUGCUAUAGCCAUAUGGCCAUAUAGCCAUAUAUGGCCAUAGCUAUGGCCAGCUAUGGUGCUGGCUUGGCGUGCCCUCCUUACCAGCUGUCCGUGGGACACAGUACUUGGUGCAUCUUGGACAUGGUUCUCCAUUUGACAUGAGCCCUGCCAGGCUCCACAGUGGCCUUCCAG
rnacentral:lncRNA from 1 species